AUACACAGGUUCUUGUAUGAUUAUCGAAGUUAAGCAACAUUGAGCCUGAUUAGUACCUAGAUGGGUGACCACUUGGGAAUACCAAGUGCUGUAA